UGAGGUCAUGUGAUGAUUACAUAGUUCACCUGAUGUGUCACAUGACUUCCGUCAUGUGACCGGUGAUUGAAAAUCUUUCGCCCCUAACUGAUGCCCUCA
rnacentral:snoRNA from 1 species